AAAUGGAUAUAUUUUUAUUCUGGAACAUUUUUUUUAAUAAUGAUGAAGAAAAUAAUAAUGAUUGGGAAAUAGCACACAGAAGAGAACGACAUCUUAAAAUCAAUAAUUUCUUUGAAAAUGUUGCUCUCGUUUAUUCUUUAACAGAAAUACUUUUGAGUACUUAAUACAAACUUUUGGAGCAGCUUUAUUGGAAAAUAAUCCUAUAUUGAAAAAGUGUCCUAAAUUAUCACCAUCAAAGCAACUUGCCAUUGCCGUAUGGUUUUUUGGCAAUCAAGAAGUUUAUAGAUCCAUUGCAGAUCGAUUUGGAGUGUCUAAAGACACUGUAUGGAGAUGUGUUUUAAUGUAGCU